rnacentral:rRNA from 1 species
UACAGAGGGGGCAAGCGUUAUUCGGAAUUACUGGGCGUAAAGGGCGCGUAGGCGGCCUGGCAAGUCGAAGGUGAAAUCCCUCGGCUUAACCGAGGAACUGCGUUCGAGACUGGUUGGCUUGAGUCCGGGAGAGGUGAGUGGAAUUCCAGGUGUAGCGGUGAAAUGCGUAGAUAUCGGGAGGAACACCAGUGGCGAAGGCGGCUCACUGGACUGGUACUGACGCUGAGGCGCGAAAGCCUGGGGAGCAAAC